CUGAAUUUGGCUUGUCUUUAUGGAUUAGAACAUGAUGCUACAAUCCAUAAAUUUUUCUUAGGACUCUUUAGCACUAUCUCUGUACUGCUUGCAUAUUGGAAAUCAAUUUUGUUUUUGCUCAUUUAGUUCUACCAUCUUCAAUAUAUGGUGUUCAUGGUAAAAAAAACUUUGAACAGCCCAAUCCCAAAUUCUAAAGACCCGUAAAAUGCGGGAAGCAGAGGCAGCAGCCCGCAGGGCAAGGAUCACUAAGGUACUUGUACAUACAAGGACUUGUAAAAGAUGAGUAUCCCAAUUAUGUUUCUUCUUUCUUUCUUUGUCAAUUAACACUAGCUUAUACUGCCUAACUUUUGUCAUAUUUUCCUGAAAUUUAUAUUGCUUCUCCAGCUCAUUUCUGCAUGUGCCUUUUGUUUCCCAGGAUUUUGUAUCUUUUAAAACAUAAAUACACCCUUAUUAAUAAAAAGGGCUAGCUUUAUAAAUGGCAUCCUCGUCAACAUAAUCAUGCACUGGAAAUCGAGACUUUGAAUUCAAGAUGAUUUCAGAUGUUUAGCCCUUGAAUAAUGAGUCUUGUUAAGAAAAGUGGUGGUGGACUGAAGUAUUC
rnacentral:lncRNA from 1 species